rnacentral:rRNA from 1 species
UACGUAGGUGGCAAGCGUUUGUCCGGAUUUACUGGGCGUAAAGAGCGCGCAGGCGGUCGUUCAAGUCGCGUGUGAAAGCCCCCGGCUCAACUGGGGAGGGUCACGCGAUACUGAUCGACUCGAAGGCAGGAGAGGGUAGUGGAAUUCCCGGUGUAGUGGUGAAAUGCGUAGAUAUCGGGAGGAACACCAGUGGCGAAGGCGACUACCUGGCCUGUUCUUGACGCUGAGGCGCGAAAGCUAGGGGAGCA